UGCCAGCCGCCGCGGUAAUACGUAGGUGGCGACCGUUGUCCGGAAUUAUUGGGCGUAAAGAGCAUGUAGGCGGUUUUUUAAGUCUGGAGUGAAAAUGCGGGGCUCAACCCCGUAUGGCUCUGGAUACUGGAAGACUUGAGUGCAGGAGAGGAAAGGGGAAUUCCCAGUGUAGCGGUGAAAUGCGUAGAUAUUGGGAGGAACGCCAGUGGCGAAGGCGCCUUUCUGGACUGUGUCUGACGCUGAGAUGCGAAAGCCAGGGUAGCGAACGGGAUUAGAUA
rnacentral:rRNA from 1 species